AAGAGGCAGAGAUGAAGUUCCAUUUAGGGCUGUUUGUACCUCAGCUCCCUCUCACACCAAAGACUCGGAUGAAGGGCUCUCCGAAAACAGGACCACGCAUUGCACCCUAAUAUCUGGCACCAAGAGUCUGGAGGAUAGGGGUUCUGAAGACCACCAAACAUGGACAGUCAGAGUCUCUGGCACCUGGGCCCACCACCUACAGCCCCUCAAGAAGGUGUGUGGGCGGAGUCAGGAGGCCCUGGGAUUCUCCUGAGCCUCCCCUUGAGAUCGGCAAAGGGUCCAGGAGUUCAUGAGGAUCUCCCUAUGUAGCCCAGGAUGGCUUGGAACUCAAUGUCCUCCCUCAGGAUUACAAGAACCAACCCCACACCUAGCAAAACUCCCCACUUACAAGGGGGCUUCCAGUCCUGGAGAGAUGGCUCCGCGGGUUAAGAGCACUGACUGCUCUUCCAGAGGACUUGAGCACCCACAUGGCCGCUAACACGCUAACAACCGUCUAUAGCGCCAAGAUCGGCCACCCUCACACAGACAUACAUGCAGGCAACACCACC